GAACGUCGUGAGACAGUUCGGUCCCUAUCCGGCGCGGGCGGAGGAUAUUUGAGGGGAGCUGACCCUAGUACGAGAGGACCGGGUUGGACGGACCGCUGGUGUACCUGUUGGAGACCAACUCCAUCGCAGGGUAGCCAAGUCUGGAAGGGAUAAACGCUGAAGGCAUCUAAGCGUGAAGCCCACCCCAAGAUGAGAUAUCCCGUCCAAAAGGACAUAAGAUCCCUCAGAGAGUAUGAGGUAGAUAGGGCAGAGGUGUAAGCAGAGUAAUCUGUUCAGCUGACUGUCACUAAUAGAUCGAAGGCUUGAUCA
rnacentral:rRNA from 1 species